CCCUUAGAUGUUCUGGGCUGCACGCGUGCUACACUGAUAUUGCCAAUAUGUCAUUCUUAUCCGAAAUGGAUUGGGUAAUCAAGUAAUGAAAUUUCAUGCUUGGAAUCGGUAAUUGCAAUUUUAUCGUGAACGAGGAAUUCCUAGUAAGCACUAGUCAUCAGCUAAUGUUGAUUAUGUCCCUGCCCUUUGUACACACCGCCCGUCGCUACUACUGAUUGGGUGUUCAAGUGAGAUGCUUAGACCCUUGUUGCAUGGUUCAUUAUUGUGCUCCGAAAGGAAAAAGUUUCAAGCUUGAGUGACUAGAGGAAGUAAAAGUCGUAACA
rnacentral:rRNA from 1 species